AACGAACGCUGGCGGCGUGCCUAACACAUGCAAGUCGUGCGAGAAAGUUCCUUCGGGAGCGAGUAAAGCGGCGCACGGGUGAGUAACACGUAGGUAACCUCGCCCCCCAGUCUGGAACAACUAGAGGAAACUCUAGCUAAUGCCGGAUGAGACCACGAUCCCUUCGGGGGUUGCGGCCAAAGAUGGCCUCUACUUGUAAGCUAUCGCUGAGGGAUGGGCCUGCGGGCCAUUAGCUUGUUGGUGAGGUAACGGCUCACCAAGGCUGUGAUGGCUAGCUGGUCUGAGAGGAUGACCAGCCACACUGGGACUGAGACACGGCCCAGACCUCCUACGGGAGCAGCAGUGGGAAUAUUGCGCGA
rnacentral:rRNA from 1 species